rnacentral:rRNA from 1 species
GACGAACGCUGGCGGCGUGCCUAAUACAUGCAAGUAGAACGAGUUGCGAACGGGUGAGUAACGCGUGGUAAACUGCCUCAUAGCGGGGGAUAACUAUUGGAAACGAUAGCUAAUACCGCAUACCAUCGGAGGUGCCCAGAUGGGAUUAGCUAGGAGGUGGGGUAAUGGCUCACCCAGGCGACGAUCCCUAGCCUGUCCGAGAGGAUGACCAGCCACACUGGAAAUGAGACACGGGCCAGACUCCUACGGGGGGCAGCAGUGGGGAAUAUUGCACAAUGGGCGCAAGCCUGGUGCAGCCCUGCCGCGUGUAUGAAGAAGGCCUUCGGGUUGUAAAGUACUUUCAGCGAGGAGGCGUUACUCGCAGAAGAAGCACCGGCUAACUCCGUGCCAGCAGCCGCGGUAAUAC